AAUGCGUUGAAUAACGUUUU
rnacentral:miRNA from 1 species